GGUACAUGUACUUACCGGACCCUAGCCCGGCUCAUCAAUGACAAAGGUCUUAGGCACGCCGAGCGAAACCUUUCAGACAAGAAGGGAGUUGUCACUUUCGAGCGGCGACCCAGCCGCUUGGGUGAGUGAUGACCUCAGAGCUGUGAAGAAUGCCCCUUCUCCGCAGCUCUGAGGCUCCACU
rnacentral:sRNA from 1 species